GCCGGGCACAGUGGCGCAACUCUGUAAUCCCAGCUCGGGAGGCUGAGGCAGGAGGAUCGAGAGUUCAAAGCCAGCCUCGACAAAAGCGAGGCGCUAAGCAACUCAUUGAGAUCCUGUCUCUA
rnacentral:sRNA from 1 species